rnacentral:lncRNA from 1 species
GUCACUGAAAACAGGACAGAAGGCUCUGAGCUAUGUGCUCUGCUAAGUGGAACUAUUUUGUUUACAUGCACCAACGCCCCAUUUGCAGAAAACCACAACGUAAUCAGUGCAAGAUACACAAAAUCAUUUAUAGGAGUGGGGUGUGAGUAAUUUUGCAACCGUGCCGUAUAUACACACAGUCAGAUUGACUGUAGAUUCUAUCCCUAUUAUUUAAUAAAGGGAAGCAGUUAUUACACUAAUUUGUAUCUUGUGGCUACUCAGUGCAACCCUGGACUGACUGUAUUCCUAAGAAAAACUAAGAUGCACCGAGUCAGGAUCAUCAAUAUCACUGUCCCCUGUUUCUACAUCUUGUUCCACUGGAAGGUCUUCAGGGGAAAUAACAUGAAAGGAGCUGUCAUGUCCUAUGACAAUAAUGCAUUCUGAAAUACCUUCUGAAGGACUUGCCUGAGGCAGUUUUACAGUAAGCUUUAAAAAAAUAAAUAGAA